ACAGUGCGGUCUUAACACUCUCAAUCACCUUACCAAAAUUUAUAUAUGACCUAGCUCUCUCGAAAUGAGAUGGAAGGCUAAAUCUUCUCAGAGACGUCGUCCAUGUUUGGUCUCUGUAACCUCGCUCACCUUGGAUUGCUUCAUCUUCUCCUCUAUAUCUAUAUGUAGCCUUCAAGGAGGAGAUCAAGGAAUUCGAGAUCCGAUACGCUCUGCCGGGGGUUUCGACAUCGAUCAAUUAUCAGAUGCUGUUGGGGCUUCGAUUCGGUGCAUUUGACACCCUUCUCUGACUUCUUCUUGUUGGACUGCGCAGGACGCACCGCCUUAAACGAGCUCUCAUCUCAAGACUGUAUGAAUAUUCAGACGCGUGAAAUAGGUUGUGAUUCAGCUGAGGCUUUGGUUGAAGGCAAAUUUUAAGCUUUGCAAAAUUUGGUUUGAUAUGGGCGAAUAUGGGAGAAUGAGUUAGGAAAAUGUGAAUACAAAAAUUGUAUUUAGGCCAGAUGUUUCUAUGGGGUUGUUCUCUGAACACUGCUUUGGGGCCACCUUACCAGGUUUCAGUAGAUACCAACUUUAUCAAUUUCUCGACCUAGUC